rnacentral:lncRNA from 1 species
UUUGCUCCAACAACUGUGGAGACAACUCUUUGGAUUGUUUGGAGAUCUCACAUCUUUCUUUCCCUCUUUUACCAUUUUCGUUUUAGCAUGAAGAGCAUCCUUAUGGACCUCACUCUACUUAUAUCAGGAGGCAGCUAUGGUUACAACAAACCCAGUGGAGUCUCACUAGUGGGGUCUUGGGAGUUGGGUGGGUAGUGUGUUACCCCUACCCUUGAGAGGUAGAGGGGCUGUUUCCGAUGGACCUCGGCAGGAGGCAACUGUGGUUGAAGUUGUUAAAUUUAAGACUGAGCACAAAAUAGAAAUUAACCAUGGGAACUGAGCUCGAU